UGGCACCUACGGGACGCAGCAGUCGGGAAUAUUGCGCAAUGGAGGAAACUCUGACGCAGUGACGCCGCGUGCAGGAAGAAGGUUUUCGGAUUGUAAACUGCUUUAGACAGGGAAGAUAAUGACAGUACCUGUAGAAUAAGCUCCGGCUAACUACGUGCCAGCAGCCGCGGUAAUACGUAGGGAGCAAGCGUUAUCCGGAAUUACUGGGUGUAAAGGGAGCGUAGACGGCGAGGUAAGCCUGAAGUGGAAGCCCGCGGCCCAACCGCGGAACUGCUUUGGUAACUGUUUUGCUGGAGUAUG
rnacentral:rRNA from 1 species